AUAUCCUGUGUUCAGUGGUUGCUCUGUUUGAUGUGUCUCUCCCUGAUGUUGGCCCUCAAGACAUCCAUGACACGGUACGCAGCCAUGGAACGCACACUAUAAUCCUGCUCAGGCAACAGUCAGAUGUUUUAGGAGAGUACAGAAGCAGAACACCGCCCACUUUUCGAGGGGAACCUGUGAGCUCCCCUGUCCCUGCAAUGAGCAUCAUACCUCCAAGUGUUCAGUGAAUCAGAAGACAGUUCAGACAGCUCGGAUGACCAUGAAGAAGGCAAGGAGGGCACAGAGCCCAGGUCUGCGUCUGCAUGGGAGACCUUCUGUACGGGGCUGGAGGAGUUCCUGGUCAGGGCACGGGAGAGGAGGGCACAGAGAGAGGCUCCAGGAGACGACCAGCAGAUCUUGCCCACAGCCAUGGGAGCUGAGUCACUCAUCGUAGGGGCUGCAGCAUACAAAUUAAAGACAUUGUCAACAGGAGAGAAGGUGCUACAGUUAUCUCUAAUGGCUACCAGGAAGCGCUAUCGGAACUGUGGAGUGGGUCGCCACAUCAUAGAGCUACUAAAGACCCAGUCUGUGUGUGGGGCCUACGAUGCGUUCCUCGCUCACGCUGACACAGACACGGUGGACUUCUUCUCAUGCUGUGGACUCACUGACGAUGCCCUGCACAAUUUUUUUUUUUUUACCUUUAUUU